rnacentral:rRNA from 1 species
UAAUACCAGCUCCCUGAGUGGUAGGGAUGAUUAUUUGGCCUAAAGCGUUCGUAGCCGGCUUGGCAAGUCUUCCGUUAAAUCCAGCGACUCAAUCGUUGGUCUGCGGAAGAUACUACUAGGCUAGAGGACGGGAGAGGUUGACGGUAUUCCCAGUGUAGGGGUGAAAUCCAAUGAUCCUGGGAGGACCACCAGUGGCGAAGGCGGUCAACGAGAACGUGCCUGACGGUGAUGGACGAAAGCUGGGGGAGCGAACCGGAUUAGACACCCGGGUAGUCCCAGCCGUAAACGAUGCGGGCUAGGUGUUAGGGCAGCUACGAGCUGCUCUAGUGCCGCAGAGAAGUCGUUAAGCCCGCCGCCUGGGGAGUACGAUCGCAAGAUUG